AGAAUGAUGAGCUCACAUUGGCCGUCGGUAAUCCCGAGCACCCAGGAUGUUGCCGAGGGUUCGGGGUCAUUCCGUGGAAGUUUGCUUUUCGAGGCGAUAGGGUAUCGUACAGAAGACGCAAGCGAAGAAAGGAAUAGAUCGAUGAGAGCUGGCGGCAGAUGCUAGAAUCCAAAGUGCAGUCACAAGAAGAAAGAAUGUUGGAGGAAAUUAAUC
rnacentral:lncRNA from 1 species